AUCGCCGUGCACGAUCAGGAGGGGGGUGGGGGCGAUCCUCCGCACCGCCUCCAGCGGGGAGAGGGGCACCGGGUUCCAGUCCCAGCGGUGGAU
rnacentral:tRNA from 1 species